rnacentral:rRNA from 1 species
UACGGAGGGGGCAAGCGUUAUUCGGAAUCAUUGGGCGUAAAGCGCGUGUAGGCGGUCCGGUAAGUCCGCUGUGAAAGUCGGGGGCUCAACCCUCGGAUGCCGGUGGAUACUGUCGGGCUUGAGUACGGAAGAGGCGAGUGGAAUUCCUGGUGUAGCGGUGAAAUGCGCAGAUAUCAGGAGGAACACCAAUUGCGAAGGCAGCUCGCUGGGACGUUACUGACGCUGAGACGCGAAAGCGUGGGGAGCAAACAGG